rnacentral:lncRNA from 1 species
GCAGAUCCAAUAAAUGAUUUAACCACAGCUAAGGUUUGUUUCCCAUAGGUUAUCCUCAAAAAAAGAAUUUGAAAGAUACUGAAUUUGUAUCAAGUUCAAAUAAACGAGAAGAACAUUUGUCUAAACUAUUUGGAGCCCCGUGUCUCUGAAUCCCCAGGCUCCUGACCUGUGUGGAAGGGGAGUGAGUGAGUGUGAAGAUGGGUGUCUGGUUUGGGGUUUGGGAGGAUCGGAUCAUCCCCCAAAGGCCUACUGACCUGCCCAGCACCAUGUCAGUGUUGGCCUUGGCAUUGGUGGGCCACCAAUAAAUUUCCAGCUUCUCUCUGAGCAACAACUCAGGAAUUUACAGGUCAACACGUCUAUCAAGGAAGGGCUGGUGACAUGAGGGCAAAGGCUGAGUACCUCUGUCGGAUAGGUGACAAGAUGAAAUUCUACAGCAAGUGUUUCACAAGGUUCCGUAUGAGACUCCAGUUGAUGAAGCCAGAACAGCAGGCAAAUCAAUCACAAAGAGAGACAUGAAUUCAGAAAAUUUCAUCAAAGGAGCCAGUGUUGCUGGGUAUUCUACUGCACCAGGGUUUCUCCUUGGCAGCGUGGACAGAAUUUCUACUGAUGGUAAGUAAUACCUCAUUCUUCCUUGUGCCUGAGUUUAGAACCAAAUGUGAGACUGAGCUAAGGAUCCUGCAGAUGGAGCUCAGACUAUGUUCUCUAGAAAACUUGGCUGGAUAAUGUGGGUGCUUCAUAUUAGGAAGAGUGCCUAAUCA